rnacentral:siRNA from 1 species
UUGAUGACACGCGCUCAACGCGAA